UAAGCGGAGGAAAAGAAACUAACAAGGAUUCCCCUAGUAGCGGCGAGUGAAGCGGGAAGAGCUCAAAUUUGUAAUCUGGCGUCUUUCAGGCGUCCGAGUUGUAAUCUAUAGAAGUGUUUUCCGUGCUGGACCAUGUCCAAGUCCCUUGGAACAGGGUAUCAAAGAGGGUGACAAUCCCGUACUUGAUAUGGCCACCAGUGCUCUGUGAUACACUUUCUACGAGUCGAGUUGUUUGGGAAUGCAGCUCAAAAUGGGUGGUAAAUUCCAUCUAAAGCUAAAUAUUGGCGAGAGACCGAUAGCGAACAAGUACCGUGAGGGAAAGAUGAAAAGCACUUUGGAAAGAGAGUUAAACAGUACGUGAAAUUGUUGAAAGGGAAACGAUUGAAGUCAGUCGUGUUCAUUGGACUCAGCCGGUUCUUCCGGUCUAUUUCCUUUGAACGGGUCAACAUCAGUUUUGUCCGGUGGAUAAAGGCAGAGAGAAAGUGGCUCCCUCGGGAGUGUUAUAGCUUUUUGUCACAUACACUGGAGGAGACUGAGGACUGCAGCUCGCCUUUUGGCCGGGGUUCGCCCACGUUCGAGCUUAGGAUGUUGACAUAAUGGCUUUAAACGAC
rnacentral:rRNA from 1 species